rnacentral:sRNA from 1 species
CAUACAUACAUGUGCAGAUAUACAUACACAGAGAUACGUAUGUCCUACUGAGUCCAGUUGAUGUAUGUAUAUGCAUGCAUUUAUGACUAGCCGCUUAGCAUUGGGAGCUUGUUCCUGAAGUAAACUGGUUUUCUCUCUUUCAGAAGCCAUUGAGUGCCUACAAGUCUUCAUCUAGGGGCGGACUAUGGAAAUUUCCUCCCAUACAUAUCACAUCAACUGAUGUGAUUAUUAUGCAUUUCUUCUUUAUACAACCAUAGUGUUGAUACUCCAUAGCUGAAAUCUCCCUGUUAUGCCCAGAGGAUACUGUGUAGCAGCAGACUUCCAGCUCAAGAACUGGGAAUGAAGAAACAGUGAACCACCUAAGUACAAACUGACAACCCAGUCAUCCAAGGAGAUGCACAUCAUUCCUCAUGCUUCCCGAGGAAGCCAAGCUCUUCCUGUUUGUAUGUGUCAGUUCCCAUCCUUCUGCUUCUCAUUUCUCUAUGUGGAUUGUUAAUUUAUCAGAGAGAGAGAGAGAGAGAGAGAGAGAGAGAGAGAGAGAGAGAGAAUCUUCUUUUUGAGUGAAUACAAGCACCCUUCUCAUAAAGCCACACUUCUCAGCGUUUACUUUCUGAGCUUUGCCUGGUACACUCGCAGAGCCCAUUAAAGCAAUGUUUGUAUGUGAGAGGCCAGGCUGGGCAGUUCAGAGUUUAGACUUUGGGCUGGAACAUGGUUCAGUGCAUUCCUUCAUGAGGCUGAAUUAAAGACGUCUUAGGAAUCUGCUCUGUCUGCCUUGUGAUGAUAUCCUCAUUCUUAAGAUGGGGUUGAAAAAGAAUCACCAUCUCAACAUUGGUUGAGAAAAAAAAAAAAACUACCCAGAUUGCAAUUAGGGUGGAGUUUCUCAUAUUCUCAGGGACUGAUGAGACUGUAACUAUGGCAACUGGUUCCCUUCGUCUCUGCAUCUUCUUUGACCUCUUCAUGGAUGAGGUGGUAGGUUCUCAUUUACAGUAACUAUACAUGUUGGGCUUUAGACGUGCAUUCUGCUUUUCCACUGUGCAAGUUAGAUUUACCAGGAAACAGGCCAUGGCAGGCACUAUCUGAUGAACGCCCUUAUCAUUUUAAUCUAAAUGGUUGUGCUUCCCCAUGGAAGGUAGAAAAAAAACAGCACGUAGGCUAGAUACACUAUUCUGUAAGUGUUCUCAUAUUAAAAGUAUAUUUACAUAAUUAUUUGUAUGUGUUUGAACGGACUGCUUGAAUAUUCUGGACCUUUGUGGUGAGGACAGAAUUCAAUUAGCUCCCAUGCAAACGUCACAAUAUAAAUUCAGAUGCAGGUUUAGGCUAAUUGGAGCUUUAGUAACUUAGAGAAAAUGUCAAAUCAAGCCACCAAACCUCUGUUUUCACCCAACCUUGGUUAAAGCUGCACUCUGCUUACUUGGUGGCGACCUGCCCACAGGAAGAUGUGGCGAUGCAACCGGACAGCCCAGAGGCAGAUGAAGAGCAACAUUUGGCCUUGUUGACAGAGCGGGGUUGUACAGUCAUGAGUGGCCUCCAUCUCCGUAAGACGUUCAGCAGGAAAACCAAUCAAAAUAACGAAUGCACUUAUUUUAGUCAUUUGGUUAAAUAUGUAAAAAACCAACAACGCUACUUAGGAGCAAGACCCCUCCUCUGUCUUCUCCAUAGUCAGGACAUAAAGCCAGUUUGCCCCCAACACACUUUUGUCAAGUAAAUUAAAUGUUUGGUGUUCACGUGAUUAUGUUAGUCAUAUAACGUAUCUCUCUGUAACUCUUUCCUCACAGUUGUGAGGCGAGUGAACAGCAUCAAGAUGCAUCACUGAGCGAGUGCCUGCUGCCUGUCGCUGCUGACAGACCAGUUCAGCACCCUUGUUCUGAGUAAGUUCCUGGGUGCAGUUCUGAAAGAUGGGCACAAGAGGCGCCAUUUCUGAGCACCACUUUAUUGCUCUAUUUAGACCUUAGCCAAAAAAAAAGCAGCUUGGGGGAAGAAAGGGCUUCAAUUUUAGGAAAGGGAAAGUAGUUGGGAAUUUGGUGUUAAUUAUACUGGACAUGUUUUUCAUCCCUGUGUUUCAAGCUCUAAGCUUGCCAGUAGAGACCAGUGCAUGGCAGAAUUCCUGAGCUCUACCCAUGAGUCUCCCUUUGUCCCAUUUUGAACCCCCAGACUGUCACUAGAGAGGGGCAUAUGUCCCACAGGGGCAAAAGUGUUCCCACCUGAAGCUCACUGGUGGAGCAUAGCAUUGUCUCGGUGGUGCUCCAGUAUGAACUUUCUACAAUGUAUUUUCAAAACAAAGCAGGAUGAAGGAAAGGAAAGGAGACA